rnacentral:rRNA from 1 species
GAUGAACGCUAGCGGCAGGCCUAAUACAUGCAAGUCGGACGGGAUUCAGGAGCUUGCUUCUGAUGAGAGUGGCGCACGGGUGCGUAACACGUAUGUAACCUACCUUUAUCAGGGGGAUAGCCUCUCGAAAGAGAGAUUAAGCCCGCAUAAAAUCACAGCACAGCAUUGUGUAAUGAUCAAAUAUUUAUAGGAUAAAGAUGGGCAUGCGGAACAUUAGCUAGAUGGCGGGGUAACGGCCCACCAUGGCGACGAUGUUUAGGGGAUCUGAGAGGAUGGCCCCACACACUGGUACUGGGACACGGACCAGACUCCUACGGGAGGCAGCAGUAAGGAAUAUUGGUCGAUGGGCGGAAGCCUGAACCAGCCAUGCCGCGUGCAGGAAGACGGCCCUACGGGUUGUAAACUGCUUUUAUACGGGAAUAAACCCAGAUACGUGUAUCUGGCUGAAGGUACUGUAAGAAUAAGGAGCGGCUAACUCCGUG